rnacentral:tRNA from 4 species
GGGGCUAUAGCUCAGCUGGUAGAGCACUGCAAUGGCAUUGCAGGGGUCAGGGAUUCGAGUUCCCUUAGCUCCA